UACAUGAGUAACCCAUGUAGGAAAGGCUUAAGUAAACUUAAGAAUGACAAAAUAUACUGGAGAUGCCAGAACAUGUCAAUAGGAAGAUAACCAGAGCAGCAAUCGCCAAAGUGAGUAAGUGCAUCCAGUUGCUUUGAUGGAUCCUCUCUGCUCAUCCAGGUUUAGGAAUACAGAAGAAAACCUUAACUGCUCAUCACAAAAGUCAAAUGACUGAAGAUAAUGACUCAACUUCCACAACAAAAAGGACUUACAAAUGCCCUUUAUCAGUGUAGAUCAGUUUUUUGCUAGAGGAGAAAAACAUGCACAGCAUAUGCAGCAUUGCUGUUCUUAUUACAGCUUGAUAACCUUGCCAUGGAUCAUUUGUCAACAGUUUGAAGAAAGCAGUUAAGCCUGUCCACAACACUGCAAGAGAAGACCAGGCUGAUGAACAGCAGCUUAACUCUACCACAUUCAACCCAGGACAGAUAAUCUACAGCCUUAGCCUGAAUGAAAGCUCACCAAACUUUUUACAUCUGUAACAUGCAGCUGAUGGAUUUUAAACAAAUAUAACCACAACCUCAGCUAGGGAGAGCUGAAAAGCCUACAUGAUACAAUUCAUGUUCCAGGAUCCGAGGGAGAUGAUGACACCUUGGGUGAAUUUGUACAAGGUUCCACUAGACCCUCUCUCAACUACUCUAUGCUGACAAGCUUUUGACAAGUGCAAAGAGGCUACAAAACUAUGAAACAGUCUUUAAAAAGGUAGUUUCAGAAAGCUUUAUUGAAUACUUCUUAAUUUAUUACAGCAUCAGUAAAUUACAUUUUGCAUUAGCCUGCUUUACACUUUCAAACCAGUUCUGGACGAUGUUACAGAACUCUGUACUACCAUCUCAGGGAACAAGUACAGUUUGGAAGCACUUCUAGUGGUGUUUGAGUGUGACAGUGACAGGCCUGAAGACAGGGUUGCUUUGUCACAUGAUGCCACAGGUAGAGAGAAAGCAGAUCUCUUAAAAUGCUGUCAUGUUGGUUAACCAUAUGGCUGGUCCAAAGGCUCUUCCCUUCUGUUAUCUUGA